AUCAACAUCAGUCGUCUAAAAGUAGUCUUAUUAUAAUCUAAUAAAACUUCAACAACGGAUCUCUUGGCUCUCGCAUCGAUGAAGAACGCAGCGAAAUGCGAUAAGUAAUGUGAAUUGCAGAAUUCAGUGAAUCAUCGAAUCUUUGAACGCACCUGCGCUCCAUGGUACUCCCGUGGAGCAUGCCUGUUUGAGUGUCAUGAAAACAAUCAACUUGGUUUUGGGGCAACCCUCGAUCUCGGCUCGGACUUGGGCGUUCGCCAUCUUCACGGGUGGCUCGCCUCAAACGAAUUAGCUGGACCUGUUUGUGAGGAAUGCUUCUACUCGGCGUAAUAAGUAUUUCGCUGAGGACAUGGCUUCGGCUGUGGCCUUCCUCUCGACGAUCGUCUGCUUUCAAACCCUGUUCUCCUCGGAGACGCAUUUUUUAUGAUCUGGCCUCAAAUCAGGUAGGACUACCCGCUGAACUUAAGCAUAUCAAUAAGCGGAGGAAAAGAAACUAACAAGGAUUCCCCUAGUAACGGCGAGUGAAGCGGGAAGAGCUCAAAUUUGAAAUCUGGUGGCGUCACGUCAUCCGAGUUGUAAUCUAUAGAAGCGUUUUCCGCGUCGGCUCAUGUACAAGUCCCUUGGAACAGGGCGUCAUAGAGGGUGAGAAUCCCGUCCUUGACAUGAACUACCGAUGCUAUGUGAUACGUUUUCAACGAGUCGAGUUGUUUGGGAAUGCAGCUCAAAAUGGGUGGUAAAUUCCAUCUAAGGCUAAAUAUUGGCGAGAGACCGAUAGCGAACAAGUACCGUGAGGGAAAGAUGAAAAGCAC
rnacentral:rRNA from 1 species